rnacentral:rRNA from 1 species
CUGCUUUUGAAAAGUCUAGUGGCAAACGGGUGAGUAACGCGUAGGCAACCUGCCUCUAAGAUGGGGACAACAGUCCGAAAGGACUGCUAAUACCGAAUGUUGUGAGUUUUCCGCAUGGGAGACUCAUUAAAGAUGGCCUCUACUUGUAAGCUAUCACUUAGAGAUGGGCCUGCGUCUGAUUAGCUAGUUGGUGGGGUAACGGCUCACCAAGGCGACGAUCAGUAGCCGGUCUGAGAGGAUGAACGGCCACAUUGGGACUGAGACACGGCCCAGACUCCUACGGGAGGCAGCAGUGGGGAAUCUUCCGCAAUGGGCGAAAGCCUGACGGAGCAACGCCGCGUGAGUGAAGAAGGUCUUCGGAUCGUAAAGCUCUGUCGAAGGGGACGAACGUGGGUUCUAUCAACAACGGAACCUAAUGACGUACGU